UAUGGCCGCAUCAGGUUGAAAGCUCUGGUUUCCGUACAAUCACUGAAGUUAAGCAACGUUGAGCCUGGUUUAUACUUAGAGGAGUGACCACUUGGAAUUAUCAGUAACUGUAA